rfam:Triticum aestivum genome assembly, contig: Triticum_aestivum_CS42_TGACv1_scaffold_580332_7BL
UUACUACUCCCUUCGUCCGAAAAUACUUGUCAUCAAAAUGAAUAAAAAGAGAUGUAUCUAAAACUAAAAUACAUCUAGAUACCAGUUUGAAGACAAGUAUUUCCGGACAGAGGGAGUACAUU